rnacentral:rRNA from 1 species
AACGAACGCUGGCGGCAGGCUUAACACAUGCAAGUCGAGCGCCCCGCGAGGGGAGCGGCAGACGGGUGAGUAACGCGUGGGAAUCUACCCAUCUCUACGGAAUAACGCAUGGAAACGUGUGCUAAUACCGUAUACGUCCUUCGGGAGAAAGAUUUAUCGGAGAUGGAUGAGCCCGCGUUGGAUUAGCUAGUUGGUGGGGUAAAGGCCUACCAAGGCGACGAUCCAUAGCUGGUCUGAGAGGAUGAUCAGCCACACUGGGACUGAGACACGGCCCAGACUCCUACGGGAGGCAGCAGUGGGGAAUAUUGGACGAUGGGCGCAAGCCUGAUCCAGCCAUGCCGCGUGAGUGAUGAAGGCCCUAGGGUUGUAAAGCUCUUUCACCGGUGAAGAUAAUGACGGUAACCGGAGAAGAAGCCCCGGCUAACUUCGUGCCAGCCGCCGCGGUAAGAC